rnacentral:lncRNA from 1 species
UGCUGUUCUCAUCAUUUUGCGUUUAGUAUAGAUUCUUAUAUGUAUCGAAAAGCAAUUUUACUAAAAGGUUUCUUUUGUUUUUCUGUAUGGUUAAUUUUCAGCCUACCAAAGACCAGGUCACACAUUUUAACAAUUAGAGAGGACGGAUAUAAAGAUACUUUAUUGGAUAAAUCUCACAAUUAAUCUUUACUUUUAGAGAAAUAUAAUAGUUGUGUGUUCAUUGUGACAGAGUCGAAAAUAUUUAAUCAUUAAUGGUACGAAUUAAAUGAGUCAAGAAAAACGCCUUUUAAAAUUAUACAUGUGUAGGACUCUAAAGUGCGAUGGGGCGCUAAAAUACGAUGGUCUACUCUAAAGUGCGAUGCUUCCAUAAGCUUAAGUCCGAUUCUCCGCGAAAAUAUAGACGUUAGAAACGUAGUUUGAUAAUAAC